GUCCCUGUCGAUUAGUGGUUAAAUCAUCUCGUUGUGGCGUAGCACCGAUGGGAAGUUCGGCUCUCAGGCUCCGAGAAGCCGGAGGUUCGAAUCCUCCUCGGGACA
rnacentral:tRNA from 1 species